CCUACGGGCGGCUGCAGUGGGGAAUAUUGCACAAUGGGGGAAACCCUGAUGCAGCGACGCCGCGUGAGUGAGGAAGUAUCUCGGUAUGUAAAGCUCUAUCAGCAGGGAAGAAAAUGACGGUACGUGACUAAGAAGCUCUGGCUAACUACGUGCCAGCAGCCGCGGUAAUACGUAGGGGGCCAGCGUUAUCCGGAUUUACUGGGUGUAAAGGGAGCGUAGACGGGUAAUCAAGUCAGAAGUGAAAGCCCGGGGCUCAACCGUGGGACUGCUUUUGAAACUGAGUAGCUAGAGUGCAGGAGAGGUAGGCGGAAUUCGUAGUGUAGCGGUGAAAUGCGUAGAUAUUACGAAGAACACCAGUGGCGAAGGCAGCUUACUAAACUGUAACUGACAUUGAGGCUCGAAAGCGUGGGUAGCAAACAGGAUUAGAUACCCUUGUAGUC
rnacentral:rRNA from 1 species